UGGGGAAUAUUGCACAAUGGGCGAAAGCCUGAUGCAGCAACGCCGCGUGAAGGAUGAAGGUCUUCGGAUUGUAAACUUCUAUCAGCAGGGAAGAAUAAAUGACGGUACCUGACUAAGAAGCUCCGGCUAACUACGUGCCAGCAGCCGCGGUAAUACGUAGGGAGCAAGCGUUAUCCGGAUUUACUGGGUGUAAAGGGUGCGUAGGCGGCCCCUUAAGUCUAAAGUGAAAUUUCGAGGCUCAACCUCGGAGCUGCUUUGGAAACUGAGAGGCUAGAGUGUGGGAGAGGAAAGUGGAACUUUGAGUGUAGCGGUGAAAUGCGUAGAGAUUCAAAGGAACACCAGUAGCGAAGGCGGCUUUCUGGACCAUAACUGACGCUGAGGCACGAAAGCGUGGGGAGCAAACAGG
rnacentral:rRNA from 1 species